rnacentral:rRNA from 1 species
GACGAACGCUGGCGGCGCGCCUAACACAUGCAAGUCGAACGAGAGAGAGGGAGCUUGCUUCCUCAAUCGAGUGGCGAACGGGUGAGUAACGCGUGAGGAACCUGCCUCAAAGAGGGGGACAACAGUUGGAAACGGCUGCUAAUACCGCAUAAGCCCACAGCUCGGCAUCGAGCAGAGGGAAAAGGAGCAAUCCGCUUUGAGAUGGCCUCGCGUCCGAUUAGCUAGUUGGUGAGGUAAUGGCCCACCAAGGCGACGAUCGGUAGCCGGACUGAGAGGUUGAACGGCCACAUUGGGACUGAGACACGGCCCAGACUCCUACGGGAGGCAGCAGUGGGGAAUAUUGCACAAUGGGGGAAACCCUGAUGCAGCGACGCCGCGUGGAGGAAGAAGGUCUUCGGAUUGUAAACUCCUGUUGUUGAGGAAGAUAAUGACGGUACUCAACAAGGAAGUGACGGCUAACUACGUGCCAGCAGCCGCGGUAAAACGUAGGUCACAAGCGUUGUCCGGAAUUACUGGGUGUAAAGGGAGCGCAGGCGGGAAGACAAGUUGGAAGUGAAAUCUAUGGGCUCAACCCAUAAACUGCUUUCAAAACUGUUUUUCUUGAGUAGUGCAGAGGUAGGCGGAAUUCCCGGUGUAGCGGUGGAAUGCGUAGAUAUCGGGAGGACACCAGUGGCGAAGGCGGCCUACUGGGCACCACUGACGCUGAGGCUCGAAAGUGUGGGUAGCAAACAGGAUUAGAUACCCUGGUAGUCCACACAGUAAACGAUGAUUACUAGGUGUUGGAGGAUUGACCCCUUCAGUGCCGCAGUUAACACAAUAAGUAAUCCACCUGGGGAGUACGACCGCAAGGUUGAAACUCAAAGGAAUUGACGGGGGCCCGCACAAGCAGUGGAGUAUGUGGUUUAAUUCGACGCAACGCGAAGAACCUUACCAAGUCUUGACAUCCCUUGACGAACAUAGAAAUAUGUUUUCUCUUCGGAGCAAGGAGACAGGUGGUGCAUGGUUGUCGUCAGCUCGUGUCGUGAGAUGUUGGGUUAAGUCCCGCAACGAGCGCAACCCUUACUGUCAGUUACUACGCAAGAGGACUCUGGCAGGACUGCCGUUGACAAAACGGAGGAAGGUGGGGAUGACGUCAAAUCAUCAUGCCCUUUAUGACUUGGGCUACACACGUACUACAAUGGCGUUAAACAAAGAGAAGCAAGACCGCGAGGUGGAGCAAAACUCAGAAACAACGUCCCAGUUCGGACUGCAGGCUGCAACUCGCCUGCACGAAGUCGGAAUUGCUAGUAAUCGUGGAUCAGCAUGCCACGGUGAAUACGUUCCCGGGCCUU